UGGUGGAGUGAUUUGUUUGGUUAAUUCCGAUAACGAACGAGACUCUAGCCUGCUAAAUAGACGGGCGAUCCCUUCGAGGGUCGACCCGAUUUGCUUCUUAGAGGGACAAGUGGCGUUCCUAGCCACGCGAAAUUGAGCAAUAACA
rnacentral:rRNA from 1 species